AUGUUUGUUUCACAUUCUCCCAUGAGGUUCUCUUCAGGCCUCACUGUUAUAAAAAACUACACUACAAAAAGAAGUAACGAAAUAUUAAAACACGAAGGCAAGCAUGACCAUAAGCAGAGACAACAAGUCACAAGGGUGCUUUUAUCCUUCCUUUCUUGGCAGAGGACCGAGUGCCUGUGUUUGAUCAGUAACACAAAUAAGUUAACCAGCUGCUCUUCCACUAGCAUGAAGGACUUGGGCUCCGAUCCUUCCCAAGAAUUAAGCUGCCAUUCAGCACAUCCCUUAGUGUUUUGGGAAUUUACAUUAAUAUUAAGAUGUUUAUAAAGAUACCACGUACACCAGAGGUAAAACACUUAUGAGGAAAUAUGAGAAGUCUGUCAGCCUUGUGUUUACAACAGCACCCCUCCAGCAAUCAACAUUAGCAUGCAGGACAAGAGCUUCACACUGCCCUAAAGGUACCAUGUCUAAAAACCAAGCAGCAGAUUUUCUGAGUUAAUGUAGUUCCAAGAAGUUAGAGGUUCUGACAUUCAAGCUAUUUCAUGAAAUUCAAUUUCCUCCUAUACAAGAGUCAGAAAAAUCAUUGGGCAUUAUUAAGCAGUGAGCAAUUUGCAAGACUCAUAGACAGGCCACAGUUCAAGUUUUUUUC
rnacentral:lncRNA from 1 species